AUUGAACGCUGGCGGCAGGCCUCACACAUGCAAGUCGAGCGGAGCGGCGGACGGGUGAGUAAUGCCUAGGAAUCUGCCUGGUAGUGGGGGAUAACGUCCGGAAACGUGCGCUAAUACCGCAUACUAUCAGAUCAGCCUAGGCCGGAGUAGCUAGGUGGUGGGGUAAAGGCCUACCAAGGCGACGAUCCGUAACUGGCCUGAGAGGAGGAUCAGUCACACUGGAACUGAGACACGGUCCAGACUCCUACGGGAGGCAGUAGUGGGGAAUAUUGGACAAUGGGCGAAAGCCUGAUCCAGCCAUGCCGCGUGUAUGAAGAAGGUCUUCGGAUUGUAAAGCACUUUAAGUUGGGAGGCGUUACCAGCAGAAUAAGCACCGGCUAACUUCGUGCCAGCAGCCGCGGUAAUUC
rnacentral:rRNA from 1 species